rnacentral:rRNA from 1 species
GAUGAACGCUAGCGGCAGGCCUAAUACAUGCAAGUCGGACGGGAUCCAUCGGAGAGCUUGCUCGAAGAUGGUGAGAGUGGCGCACGGGUGCGUAACGCGUGAGCAACCUACCUCUAUCAGGGGGAUAGCCUCUCGAAAGAGAGAUUAACACAGCAUAAUAUAAUCUUCCGGCAUCGUUAGAUUAUUAAAUAUUUAUAGGAUAGAGAUGGGCUCGCGUGACAUUAGCUAGUUGGUAAGGUAACGGGUUACCAAGGCGAAGAUGUCUAGGGGCUCUGAGAGGAGAAUCCCCCACACUGGUACUGAGACACGGACCAGGAUCCUACGGGAGGCAGCAGUAAGGAAUAUUGGUCAAUGGGCGGAAGCCUGAACCAGCCAUGCCGCGUGCAGGACGACUGCCCUAUGGGUUGUAAACUGCUUUUGUCCAGGAAUAAACCUAAAUACGUGUAUUUAGCUGAAUGUACUGGAAGAAUAAGGAUCGGCUAACUCCGUGCCAGCAGCCGCCGUAACAC